UCACUCUGGCUUCUCUUCAACGUAUGAUUCUUUCGCCUUUUACUAAAGAAUUCCGUGGAGAGGAGCAGUUCGAUGAGUCUUGAACAUUUUUCGAUAUCCGACUUUGGUCGGUUU
rfam:Ciona savignyi cont_28202, whole genome shotgun sequence.